rnacentral:rRNA from 1 species
AUUGAACGCUGGCGGCAGGCCUAACACAUGCCAGUCGAGCGGAUGAAGGGAGCUUGCUCCUGGAUUCAGCGGCGGGCGGGUGAGUAAUGCCUAGGAAUCUGCCUGGUAGUGGGGGAUAACGUCCGGAAACGGGCGCUAAUACCGCAUACGUCCUGAGGGAGAAAGUGGGGGAUCUUCGGACCUCACGCUAUCAGAUGAGCCUAGGUCGGAUUAGCUAGUUGGUGGGGUAAAGGCCUACCAAGGCGACGAUCCGUAACUGGUCUGAGAGGAUGAUCAGUCACACUGGAACUGAGACACGGUCCAGACUCCUACGGGAGGCAGCAGUGGGGAAUAUUGGACAAUGGGCGAAAGCCUGAUCCAGCCAUGCCGCGUGUGUGAAGAAGGUCUUCGGAUUGUAAAGCACUUUAAGUUGGGAGGAAGGGCAGUAAGUUAAUACCUUGCUGUUUCGACGUUACCAACAGAAUAAGCACCGGCUAACUUCGUG